rnacentral:rRNA from 1 species
AGAGUUUGAUCAUGGCUCAGAUUGAACGCUGGCGGCAGGCCUAACACAUGCAAGUCGAACGGUAACAGGAAGCAGCUUGCUGCUUCGCUGACGAGUGGCGGACGGGUGAGUAAUGUCUGGGAAGCUGCCUGAUGGAGGGGGAUAACUACUGGAAACGGUGGCUAAUACCGCAUAACGUCGCAAGACCAAAGAGGGGGACCUUCGGGCCUCUUGCCAUCAGAUGUGCCCAGAUGGGAUUAGCUAGUUGGUGAGGUAACGGCUCACCAAGGCGACGAUCCCUAGCUGGUCUGAGAGGAUGACCAGCCACACUGGAACUGAGACACGGUCCAGACUCCUACGGGAGGCAGCAGUGGGGAAUAUUGCACAAUGGGCGCAAGCCUGAUGCAGCCAUGCCGCGUGUAUGAAGAAGGCCUUCGGGUUGUAAAGUACUUUCAGCGGGGAGGAAGGUGUUGUGGUUAAUAACCGCAGCAAUUGACGUUACCCGCAGAAGAAGCACCGGCUAACUCCGUGCCAGCAGCCGCGGUAAUACGGAGGGUGCAAGCGUUAAUCGGAAUUACUGGGCGUAAAGCGCACGCAGGCGGUCUGUCAAGUCGGAUGUGAAAUCCCCGGGCUCAACCUGGGAACUGCAUUCGAAACUGGCAGGCUUGAGUCUUGUAGAGGGGGGUAGAAUUCCAGGUGUAGCGGUGAAAUGCGUAGAGAUCUGGAGGAAUACCGGUGGCGAAGGCGGCCCCCUGGACAAAGACUGACGCUCAGGUGCGAAAGCGUGGGGAGCAAACAGGAUUAGAUACCCUGGUAGUCCACGCCGUAAACGAUGUCUACUUGGAGGUUGUGCCCUUGAGGCGUGGCUUCCGGAGCUAACGCGUUAAGUAGACCGCCUGGGGAGUACGGCCGCAAGGUUAAAACUCAAAUGAAUUGACGGGGGCCCGCACAAGCGGUGGAGCAUGUGGUUUAAUUCGAUGCAACGCGAAGAACCUUACCUGGUCUUGACAUCCACAGAACUUUCCAGAGAUGGAUUGGUGCCUUCGGGAACUGUGAGACAGGUGCUGCAUGGCUGUCGUCAGCUCGUGUUGUGAAAUGUUGGGUUAAGUCCCGCAACGAGCGCAACCCUUAUCCUUUGUUGCCAGCGGUCCGGCCGGGAACUCAAAGGAGACUGCCAGUGAUAAACUGGAGGAAGGUGGGGAUGACGUCAAGUCAUCAUGGCCCUUACGACCAGGGCUACACACGUGCUACAAUGGCGCAUACAAAGAGAAGCGACCUCGCGAGAGCAAGCGGACCUCAUAAAGUGCGUCGUAGUCCGGAUUGGAGUCUGCAACUCGACUCCAUGAAGUCGGAAUCGCUAGUAAUCGUGGAUCAGAAUGCCACGGUGAAUACGUUCCCGGGCCUUGUACACACCGCCCGUCACACCAUGGGAGUGGGUUGCAAAAGAAGUAGGUAGCUUAACCUUCGGGAGGGCGCUUACCACUUUGUGAUUCAUGACUGGGGUGAAGUCGUAACAAGGUAACCGUAGGGGAACCUGCGGUUGGAUCACCU